rnacentral:tRNA from 1 species
GGGCGGUUAGCUCAGUUGGUUAGAGCGCUGGUCUCACAUACCAGAGGUCACAGGUUCGAAUCCUGUACUGCCCACCA